rnacentral:rRNA from 1 species
UAAGGCGAAGCUCCUGAUCGAAGCCCCAGUAAACGGCGGCCGUAACUAUAACGGUCCUAAGGUAGCGAAAUUCCUUGUCGGGUAAGUUCCGACCUGCACGAAUGGCGUAAUGAUGGCCAGGCUGUCUCCACCCGAGACUCAGUGAAAUUGAACUCGCUGUGAAGAUGCAGUGUACCCGCGGCAAGACGGAAAGACCCCGUGAACCUUUACUAUAGCUUGACACUGAACAUUGAGCCUUGAUGUGUAGGAUAGGUGGGAGGCUUUGAAGUGUGGACGCCAGUCUGCAUGGAGCCAACCUUGAAAUACCACCCUUUAACGUUUGAUGUUCUAACCUAGGCCCAUAAACUGGGUCGGGGACCGUGUCUGGUGGGUAGUUUGACUGGGGCGGUCUCCUCCUAAAGAGUAACGGAGGAGCACGAAGGUUGGCUAAGCAUGGUCGGACAUCAUGCGGUUAGUGCAAAGGCAUAAGCCAGCUUGACUGCGAGAGUGACGGCUCGAGCAGGUACGAAAGUAGGUCUUAGUGAUCCGGUGGUUCUGAAUGGAAGGGCCAUCGCUCAACGGAUAAAAGGUACUCCGGGGAUAACAGGCUGAUACCGCCCAAGAGUUCAUAUCGACGGCGGUGUUUGGCACCUCGAUGUCGGCUCAUCACAUCCUGGGGCUGAAGUAGGUCCCAAGGGUAUGGCUGUUCGCCAUUUAAAGUGGUACGCGAGCUGGGUUUAGAACGUCGUGAGACAGUUCGGUCCCUAUCUGCCGUGGGCGUUGGAAGAUUGAGAGGGGUUGCUCCUAGUACGAGAGGACCGGAGUGAACGCACCACUGGUGUUCGGGUUGUCAUGCCAAUGGCAUUGCCCGGUAGCUAAGUGCGGAAGAGAUAACCGCUGAAAGCAUCUAAGCGGGAAACUUGCC